UGCCAUGGUAAUACCGUUAAGUACAAGAGGAACCGCAGGUUCAGAUAAUUGGUAUACGUGCCUGGUCGAAAGGCCGAUGUUGCGAAGCUACCAUCUGAAGGAUUCAGACUGAACGCCUCUAUGUCUGAAUCCCGUCUAAAUUUGCA
rnacentral:ncRNA from 1 species